rnacentral:sRNA from 1 species
ACUAAACAAAAAAAAACACAACCAAAUAAAAAACAACAACAACCAACAUUAGGCAAACGUUUCAAGAUCAAGCGGCAGACGUGGGAGAAGUCGCAGGACCUCUAAACACAUCCUUGCUGGCCAAACGAGAAAAAGAAAAAAAAAAGGCCGUGAGACAGCGAAAAAUUCGUGGGAAAUACCGGCAUACACAACCUUCACUCAGUCAGUACGUCCCCAAAAAACUUUUUUAUAUCUUUUUGUAUAUGUGUGUGAGUGUAUGAGUGAUCGCAAGUGCAGGAUAACCAGAAGAAUCCUUCUCAGACCUUUGAUAAGCUCAAGCCCGAGGUUUAGAGAUUCGAACCUCAAGAUAGACCCCUAAAUUGUGCUCAGUGUCGAUCCACAAAAACCAAUUCAGAGCGUUUUAACACAAAAGUCUGCUGGCAGCAAUCAACUUUAGGCCGAAAUUAUCAUAAAAUCUCGAUCGAAAUCGUUAAUGAAAAGAACAGAAAUUCCAUUCAACUAUCAUCUGGAUUUUCCACUGUUUCAUUUUGUGUUGUUGACUGAUACGAAGAUCAAAGAUAAAAGACCAAAUUCGAUAAGGAAAAGCAAUUCUCCCACACAACAGAGUAUAUAAUAAAAGUAAUAAUAAUAAUAACAAUAUUAAUAAAGUAUAAAGAAAAUAAUUUUGAUUAAAACAUACCUUUGUUUUCAAUAAGUGUGCGCUAGAUAGAAUCAUAUAUAUAUAUAUAUCUAAAUAUAUAUACGUAUAACAUUUGAUUACCUUCGUCGGUGAGUGUCUAGCCAAUCAAUCUAUAGCCUAUAGGAACCAUACAUAUAUAUAUAUAUAUAUACCACAAGGUUUUAUACUGAAUUUAUAAAAUUUUGGGUAAGGGCGCAGUGCGCAUCGAAAGGCCCCAUCAAAGCAUCAACACCAAACUCAAUAUAAACUAACAAAUAGAAAAAAACAAAAUACCAUAAGCAAGUGUUUUUUUUGUCGCAUAUAAAUAAAUUUACAUAUUUACACAUACGAGACGGAAGUUAAGCAAAAGUAAUAUUAAAAUAAAGACUUAAAUUUCUCAAAGAAAUAAAUAUUUAUACAAGAACAGGCGAUGAAAUAAGAAGAACAAGUAAAAAAAACGGACUUCCAACGAUUUCAAAAUACGACGAAAAAUACGAAUUACGAAAUAUUUUUUAGAGCAAGGACCCUGCAAACAAAGUAUGAUAUGACUAAAUCUACGCAAAUCGGUUAACAAAAAUAUUUGCCAAAUCUAUGUAUUGAAUCA